CCAAUAGCGUAUAUUAAAGUUGUUGCAGUUAAAAAGCUCGUAGUUGAAUUUCGGGAUUCUACCGUUGGUCGGGCAAUAGUCUGUACUGGCGUGUGGAAUUUCUACCUUCUGGGGAACCGUCAUGUUAUUUAUUUAGCGUGGUGAGAAACCAGGACCUUUACCUUGAAAAAAUUAGAGUGUUCAAAGCAGGCUUACGUCUGAAUACAUUAGCAUGGAAUAAUAAAAUAGGACGGUGGUCCUGUUUUGUUGGUUUCUGAAUCACCGUAAUGAUUAAUAGGGAUAGUUGGGGGCAUUAGUAUUCAAUUGUCAGAGGUGAAAUUCUUGGAUUUAUUGAAGACUAACUUCUGCGAAAGCAUUUGCCAAGGAUGUUUUCAUUAAUCAAGAACGAAAGUUAGGGGAUCGAAGACGAUCAGAUACCGUCGUAGUCUUAACCAUAAACUAUGCCGACUAGGGAUCGGACGAUGUUAAUUUUUCUUGACUCGUUCGGCGCCUUACG
rnacentral:rRNA from 1 species